rnacentral:rRNA from 1 species
CCUACGGGUGGCAGCAGUGGGGGAUAUUGCACAAUGGGGGAAACCCUGAUGCAGCGACGCCGCGUGAGUGAAGAAGUAUUUCGGUAUGUAAAGCUCUAUCAGCAGGGAAGAAAAUGACAGUACCUGACCAAGAAGCCCCGGCUAACUACGUGCCAGCAGCCGCGGUAAUACGUAGGGGGCAAGCGUUAUCCGGAUUUACUGGGUGUAAAGGGAGCGUAGACGGUUAUGUAAGUCUGGAGUGAAAGCCCGGGGCUUAACCCCGGAACUGCUUUGGAAACUGUGCAGCUAGAGUGCAGGAGAGGUAAGUGGAAUUCCUAGUGUAGCGGUGAAAUGCGUAGAUAUAUGGAAGAACACCAGUGGCGAAAGCGGCUCUCUGGUCUGUAACUGACGCUGAGGUUCGAAAGCGUGGGUAGCAAACAGGAUUAGAUACCCCUGUAGUC